AUUAUCAUUUAAUUGAAAGCUCAAAAACUUGUCAUUAAUUCUCUAAAUAUUCCAUCUUGAAUGAUUUCUGUAACUGCUAAAAUGGAGAGCCAAACUUUAUCAUAAAAAUGCUGGAUUUUGUGGAGUUCUUCUCAGUAUGAAGGUUAAUGCCUCAGUGAUUUUGGCAGAAGAGCAAAUUUGAUUAGAAACGAGAAAUCCAUAUGGUGCAGGCACAAGGCAAAUAAAGUCCACCUGGACUAAAAGUAAGCCAGACCAAAUCCCAUCAACUUUGAUUGACUCCAAAGGCCAUUAGAUGUCGGAAAGGCCAAGGUAAGAUGCCCCAACAAGUUGAAUCACAACAAAGUGGUUACCUACCAAGGCGCCAACAAGACUGCAAAGCUUCUGUUAUUCCACUUUAUAUGGAGCCAUGUCAAUAUAUGUAUGUGUGCGCAGUAAUACAUAUUAAAUACACAUUGUUGCACAAAUCAUAAGAGUGCACAGUCUUAGUUGAUUGACAUACUUAAUGUAAAAACAUUGGCCAUUGAGUAUUUGUUUUGGAAAUAUCAUAUUUUCUGACUAAAGCUUUGUGGUGAAUUGAAGACUUGAUUUAUUUAACUCACAGAAAUCUUUUA